CAAAUAUGUCAGACACGGAUUCUUGUACUGAAAACGAAGUCAGCACGGACCAUGAUCUCGACGUCGGCACUGAUCGAGAGCUUAUUGCAUUGGUUCGAGUUAAUCGGUUUUUAUACGACGAAACCAAAAAAUUAUACGCGAAUGCAAAUGUGAAGUCAGAAGCAUAGACGCAGAUCGCUAAAGAAGAGCAGCCAGAUGUCUGUCGUUCAUCAAAGCACUCGGAAAAGAACAAAACGAUUAAAAUUAAUACACUGUACUUCUACAAUUCGUAAUCAUAAGAGUAAAUACGCUUGCUCGAAACGCUAUAGAACGAACUAGAUCCAAAACUCGCAACUCGCGCGAUGGAGGAAAACAAUUAAACAAGAAGGUGGCGCAAACAGCUCGAUGGCGGGAGGUGGGAGGAUCGGCGGACCCGUAAUCUUCGCGAAACCUUUGUGCCGUUCGAAUAAAGAGACGUGUCGCGACCCUCAUGGGAAAGAAAGAAGGAGGGAGAGGGAGCUUUAAACACGUAAUACCCUCGAGCUACAUCACGCCGCAACGUGUACGUUGUUGCCAUCGGCUUGUUAAAAAUCAUCCUGUAUAUACGCUUUGAAAUUUGCUUUUUGAAAUUCAUAGAAAAAUUCCAAGCUGUAAAAAUUUAAUUUUAUUAACGCUCUAAGAUAAUGAGGCACGAUAAUAUCGCUUCAACUGAGAGGAAGUUGUCGACAAAAAUGGACAAAUGGACAAAAGCACACGUAUAAAGAAACUCCCCGAGGGAAGUGUGAUGUGAACCUGCAACUUUCAACAUAAUUUAAACAGUCCCUUGACUAGACUUUAAAUAUCCAAUAAAUUCGAAAACACUGUUCAAAAAGCGAAUUUUGUUAAGAACACUAAAGAAUCAUUCUGCAUAUUCUA